UAUGUACGGUCGCGCUGAGUCAUGUUAAUAAGGGAUCAGUAAAGAAGAAAGAACUGCUGACAUUGCAGAGGUACAUGAAGCUGCCAUAAUUACCUUCACUCCAAUAGCCCUUAGCCUCAGGCAUGAAACAGCAUUUUUCUUUGACUGUUGUAAGAUAUAGAUCCCAUACUUCUUUCAGUGAGCAUAUAUAUCCAGGGUGGCAUAAAUGGGCCUCUAAAUUAUUAAGAAACUUAGCUUAACCAAGACUUAGUCCCAGGCAUUUUACAUUUUAUGAAAUAAGCUUAUUCCAGAACUAACAGAUGCCACCCGGGAAAGACAAAUUGCACAUUUCAGAAGUGGUAUUUUAAACCAAACUGGUCUGAGCUAGCGGAACAAUCUAUAUGCUUCUAAAAUCUUAUAUCUUAUCUACAUAUCUAGGUUUCUGUUUCUUUGUUUCCAACUUCCUCCCCUCUAAGAUUGAUUACAGCGUUUUCUAUAAUUCAUUAUAGUCUGCUUUUGCUCAAGGAGACAAUCCCUUGAAAUUUACACCAAAUUACCCCGAUAAUGGAUGCGCCCUCAUAAUUCACCUGUCUUCUGUACAUUCACUGAUUUGUGAAACGCUUUAGAACCGAACCUCUCUUUUUAAUGGACCAGACAUGUGCUUUGGGCUGUCCCAACCAGGACACAUAUCACAUGACAAUGGUUUCUGGAAUCACCCCAGAAACCAAAGGUGCAAGUGGGAGAUUGUGUGUGUGUUGUGUUUCACAAUGCACAGUUAUCGCCUUGAUGGCUCUUUGUCUUUUGAAAUGUAAGUAUUCCUGCUGUUCCUAACUCAUAAGCCAAAAUAUGAUGCACAUCUUGUUUGAGGGCAAAAUGUACCUUUUAGCCCAAAAGUCAAAACCUUGCUUCUUUUUAAAACAAAUCUCCAAUUAAUUCUGAGUUUAAGAGACUACUAAAUUAAAUGUUUCCUGUCACAUGUUAGCACUAUGGGGCCUUUGAUUGAAAGGAGCCUAGUAUAAUCUUAUUGAACCAGUAGGUCGCAGGAAUCAGAGAAAACGGGUUUGGAUCACAGGAGAGCGUGGAUGUUGGAUGGAUCUGUGAGUACUCUCUGUUGUGGUAUCAGCUGACUGAUGCUUGUGGGUCUCAGAAGGGCUCCAACAUUUCGCCUUCUAAAAGCUGGAGAUUAAUGCAACCAUGGCGAACCGCACAGCAACACCCUGGCAAAGAAAAAGGGUUAGGGCUGGCGAGAUGUGGCAGGUGUCAAAAUAAAAGGUUAGGCUCUGUGCCUGGGGACCCAUCUGUCAGAUAAAACCAUGAUAAGACAAUUAAUGUAUUUGUUUAUGUUGCUCAUGACACAUCCUGCGUUCCAUAAAGAUGAUCAGUUUAAACACUGUCAACUGCUUUCUGGAAAUUAGACUGCAUGUAAAAAGAAAAUGCCCAAGAUAGAAAGAAAUGAGGGUUUAUUAGUUAAAUGGGUAGUUUAUACAGUCAAAUCAAGUUAACUUGCAGACUUCUAGCGAUCUGUACGAAAGAACUAAAGCUAUUAACCUCAACAUCUUCAUAAUGUAGAGUUUAUAUUAGGGACGUUUGAAGUGGAUGUUGUGCCGCAAGACAAUUGGUAUAGCAUCUCAAAAUUUCACCAUGCUUUACAUUCAUGAUACUAGGUUCUAAGUUUGUAAUAAAAUGUGUCCCAGGGAAUGUAUGGGAAGAGGAGAAUUUUCAUCCACGAGCUAUGGAUCCUGCAUUAUCUUCAAAUGUUUUGUUCACAGCGUUGUCAUGUUUAGGGCUUUCAUCUUCCCUCUGUGAGUAAUUCUGACUCCUCUCAUUGUAUUUAUUAUUUAUUUAGCUUUCUCACGACAUCUGCUUUGCAAUCUGUUUAAACUAGAACAUGCUUAGAUUUUAUAUUCAUCAGUGAUCUAUUUCUUGCCGAUAAAAGAAAUUAUCAGAUGCUUUUAAAAUGCCCUGUUAUUUUACAGGUCAACAAAUAUAAAAUGGCUUACCUAGAAUUAUGAAAGAAAUAAGUUUUCUUUUCCCAGUUCAAAAUUUCAGGUAGAAAUUGAUUUCCUCAUUUCUUUCUACUGUGGACCUUUAAAAAGGUUCCCAGUUAUUGUUUCAAUACCUUAUUCUUACCGUCAUGUUACAUUUUGAAGAGAAGAAACUGGCUCAUCAACAGCAUAAUAUGCUACAAAGAAGGAAGAGUCAAGGCCUUUGACUUCUGAUGAAAAACCAACUAUGACUCUCCUGUUCCUAAGCUGCACACUCUGACAGUGACGCUGUUAGCUUUCUUUGUGACAAGAGAAAGAAGCGUUCGCAAACAGAACUCUGGUGUUCAAUAUAUUUAUUUUUCAUUUUGUUGGGACAGGAUUUUCCCCCUUAUCACUACUUCCCAUCUAUUAGAAGGGUUUUAGUUAACCAUUAAAUCAAUGAGUUUUUUCUUCAUUAGGAAAACUUCUCUGCCCAAAGCAUGUCACCAUCUUAUAUUUUCUACCGUCUCUCACUGAAGCAUGGAUUCAAUGGAGCCACAGGGAUAUUAGGAUAGAAGCCUGGCUAAAGGUCAGUGGAGACUCAAAACACAGACUUUAUUAUACAGUUCUUCCAGCAGUCUGAUGCAUGACUUACAAAUUACAUCUGCAGUCCAAGUACAACUAACUACUAUUUAAAAUUGAAUUCACUUCUGCCUGCAUUUCCUGACUCGGAGGUUUAUGCUGUUGCUUUAAUUUUAUUUGAAUUUCAGUCUUCUGAAUUAGCUCUAUUUCCUAUCUCUUUAUCUUCAUUUGCCUGGAUGCAGUUGAAAAUACACUACAGCAAAAUAAAAUUCUUAGUCACCAUCCUGGACGACUCUUCAAAAAUUCUAAGAUGUGUAAGGUUACCUAGUUGUGAUCGGCUUAGCUCACUGGCCACUUUCUCUGUAGCACAGAAUAAAAGUAAUAAUCUCAACAGCAAGUCGGAAUCUCUCUCACCCAUUUUUUCACAGAUCCAUUAAAAGAUACAUCGGACAAAAGGUAAGCUGAUUUCUAACUUCUUCACCGUAGGGACUGUCCAUUGGAAAUGAGCAGUUUCACAGUACACGUUCUAUCUUUACGUGGGGAGAACAUAAACGAAGCGGUUCCUUUUAUUUUAAAAUGUUUUAAUUUCUGCUUUUACUUUUUUGCAGAACUGUGAAAGAAUAAUUUUGCUGGAUAUCCACUUAUUUCAGUUCAGUCAUUUGAAGACAGUAUGAGAAUUCGGGUGGGGUUGUUGACCCCUCUUUGCUCUGGGACAGUGAAAACCUGCCUCUGUUUUCACCACAGGUCAGUUUUCAUAAGCUAUUCCCUGACAGACCAACUAGAGAUGCUAAAUCACCAAACCGCUUCUCUUAUUUUUUAAGCAUAAUAAAUAUACAGUUAUUUGGGGGAAAUAAUGACUCAUUGGCCACUCCUUCAAUCCAUGAUAAUGGUAAACAGUGACUCUCUGAAUUUUGAUUAUUUUAACAAACAAUUAAAAUCCUCAGCAUAAACUGUGUUAUGUAAGGAAAGUGUCUGCAACCAAUUUUGUUUCUCAUUAUUAAAAAAAGGUUGUUAUUUCUUUCAGGAAAUCUGCUUGAAAUUGAUUAGAGCGUCCCACCCGUGUCAGGUGUUCCUUUCAUUAGCUUCACCUCCUUCUGGAUCUCAUUUGUCUUAAGCAUCACUUUUCUGGCCAAACAUUUGUAUAUGUUUUUCUUGUAGUCUAUAGUUUUAUGGGUUUAUCUUUUUUUAAUUCGUUGAACAUUUGUUCAUUAUUAGAUAGGUAAUAUUUUACCUCCAUUUCCAGAUGACAAAACUCUGGUAUACUAAGAGUAAAUCAUUCUUAAAACAUGAACCUAUCUUAUUUUAGUAAUAGGAAUGUUUUGCAUCUACUUCAUGCUCAGAUGCUGAAGAACGCGAAGGACAGCCUGAGAGUUGUGUGACAGGAAAGAAAAAUAAAUAGGUGAGUAUUCGGAGAAAAUUAGGACAGGGGAAGCAAGGAGAUUUGUUGGAGGACAAGUCUGAUGAUUUAAGAUGAAGCAUGACAGCAAAAGAUGGGUAGGGGACAACUCUAAGUGGCUCAGUUUCGCUCUGUCUUGCUGCGCUAAAAUAACCUGCCCAAAGCUUCUUAAGGGAGAAAGACUGUCUUACAGCCCAGGGUUCCAGGCUCAGUCCAUCAUGGAGGGGGAGUCAGACAGCAAGCAUCUGAAGGAGCUGAACACAACCAUCUGCAUUUGGAAGAGAGCAGUGAGUGCCAGUCUGUGCACCAGGGCUCAGCCCCUUUUCUCUAAGAUCCCCCCCCACCCCGCUGACUAAGAAUGGCACACCCACAGAGGGGAGGGCUUUACCCUUUAUUAACUAAAUCAAGAGAAUCCCCCACAGGUUUAUCCAGAGGCCAAUCUCCCAGGUGCUUCAAGAUUUUUUUAUUGUCAAGUAGACAACCUGAACCAGUACACUAUGGAAACUUGCAAAAAUCUUAUGAUAAUGAUGAAGAGGGAGAAAGGAAGUCAUGAGAAAUAAUGCAUAAAUGGAUUUCUGGGUCUUGAGCAUGAUUUGAUUAAUUCUGAAAUAAUGUUUCCAGUAUGGAAUUCAUUUUCAAGAUAGAAUAAAGAGGAACCUCUGUCUCAGAAGAUGUUAUGCAUGUUGUAACAGUUCAUCAUGGGAGUGGAUUAGCAUGUGAGGAAGAUAUUAUAUAGUGACUCGGAAGACGGACUUUGUAGAGAAAUAGGAGCCCAAUUGCCUGCUUCAUCCUUCCUGUUAUGUGUGUAAUCUUGACAAGAGUCAGAGAUACCUCCUACAGCAGCAGGAUAGCUGACCAUGCGCAUCCCCCUAACAUCAUGUCCAGGAACAACCCAGUAGCGGAUCACACACAGCCAAGAUGAUUUACAGCCUCACACUGGACAAUCAUAGAUUAGGCAAAUCAGGGUUUUAGUCCUCUUGCAUUAUUUCAGCAGCAAACCGCUGGAGGCCAACAACAUCCCUAACCCUUACAAGUCUUCCUUCUUUGUUUUCACUGGAGAAGAAACAAAUAGAAUGAAUGUACUAAUCCCUGCGUAAGAUUCUGCAGACCUUUCAACAGAUGCCAUAUCUCGCGUUUCCUGUAUGUAGCAAGCAUCAGUAUCAUAACUCUUGUAAUUUAAUUCAGCAUGUUCUACAGGACAGUGAACAUUUUGCAAUUCUAAUGCAUGCAAAAGCAUUUCAAUUACUUCAUCACCAUUCCAGAGGAAGAAGAUUUGUGAAAGUUCUUUUACUGGCUUAACAGUGUCAUCGUUUCUUUCUCUGUCAACCGGGGAGCAGCUUUCAUAUGAUGCAAUUUCUCCAAAUACUCUUAAACAGUUGUCUCUACUGAGUGUUAUACAGCCAAGAGCCUCCAUUGAUAAGUGCUUCAAUAUUCAUUCCAACACUACCUGCCCAAACUCCUUCUCAGACUCCAACACAGAGCCUUGCCCUGGUGCUUUGGGAGGCCAGAAGAGGGUGUCAGAUCACCUGGAGCUUGAGCUACAUACGGAUGUGAGCUGCCCAACUUUGUAAUUCACCAGACCAGCAGCUGGGAAGAACUCCUCAUGUUCUGUCCUGGGAAAGAAGUAGCUUACAAAUAUUGUCCUUCGUAGAAGCAAAGAGAAGUGAACUUGUUUCAACUGUUCAUAAUUAUGUACUAUUUAUUGGAUUGUCUGGGUUCUUUCACAAAAUAUGUGCCCUGGGUUAUUAUCCAUAUUGGCGAUAAUAAUAGUUUGCUUACUUUCAGAACUUGCAGUAUUAAACUUCAUUACAAAAUUUUUGCAAUUGUCUUGCUCCUGCUACUAUCUAUGCAAAUUUCUUGCUCCUCAGUCCCCCAGCUUUUGGUUAAAAUGAGUACUGUUUUUACAGUAACUGACACAUCUGUGUAUACAUGCAUAUGAGUAUUUAUAUUUAUUUCUAAUGAAUGCAGUUGUUCAUGUGUUUCUUUAAUAAGCCUGUAGAGCUUGCCUCUAAGCUUUCCUCCCCUGGUUGUAUUCUGUUAGCACUGGGCUAGGUUCAACUGCACUUCAGCCUCACCAGUACUGUCUCUGUCUCUUUACUCUACUCUGGGAGGUUAGCAGGGACCUCAGUCUGUUUCUGACUUACAUUAAGUUGAUGAACAAAGUAAUCAGAGGAAUUUUUCACAGCCAGUGGCCCUUUGGACAUGCUCAUUUGUCAACAGUCUAUUAAAGUCCUUUCCCAAGCUUUCUACUAGUCUGUAUCAUUUUCAUAUAGAUCUGCAAAUGUUCUUAUAUAUCCUCGAUGAAUUUGGGUACUGUCAAUUUAUGCAUAUGUGUAUGUCAUUUACUAAUACAUUUUGAUUUUAAUUCUAUCUAUGAUAUUUUUUAGUCACCAAGUAAUCUUUCAUUUUCUAUUUUAUUUAUUAUUAUUAUUGCCUAUUUCUGUGAUGUGAUAUGAUGUGAUGUGGUGCGGUGUGUGUGUGUGUGUGUGUGUGUGUGUGUGUGUGUGCACGUGCUCUUGUGCAAGCCAGGCCACAUGUGCAUGGAUCAGAGGACAAUAUUCAGGAAUGGAUUCUUUUUGCAUCACAGACAUUGAACUUACGUUGUCAAGCUUGUAAAGCAAACACAUUCGCUGAGCCAAACAUCCUUCAAAUUAGUACAGUUAAGCUUGCUAACUGAACUGUAAUGCUGUUUAACUUACCAUUUUCUUCUUAAUGUAAUGUUAAUGAUAUGUACUGAUUAAUAAAUCAUUGCCUUUUUCUAAAAUAGUUAAUUUCCUUAUUGAUUUUUAUUGCUUUACAACCUUGUUCUAUUCUACUGGAAUUUUAAUUGUGUGUGUAUGUGUGUAUCCAAUGGAACCACUUCCCUGCAUUCCCAUAGCCUGUGGCCCUCCCUAGUCAUAUGACUACAUGAACGUAGGAUAUUAUUGAGUUCACAUUGGUCCCUUCGGUAUAUUACAUUAUCAAAACUAUACUGUUUUAAUGAUCACAAAUUGACAAUAACUGAUAAAGACAUUCUUCAUUAUUCUUUUAUAAGAAUCUUGACUAUUUUUAAAAAGCAUUUAAAUUACAUUUAUUUGUUUAUUGAGUGCCGAGGGCAUUUGUAUGUAGGGGCACAGUACAAAUGAGAAAAUGGGAAAACUUGUAGCAGACAAUGCUCUCCUUUUAUCAUGUGGGGCUUGGGAAUCAAAUCCAUGCUAUAGCCAUCGUAACAAGUGCCUCUACUUAUCGAAUCAUUUUACUGACCUAUGCUCUUGACUAUUCUUAAAUCUCUGCAACUAUGUACAAUAUUUUAAUGAUCUGAUCAAUUUUCAAAUGAAGAUCUCAUUUGUUCUCUGAAUUCUAAAGGCUUUAUGAUUGGGUUUUUGAGCUUUUAUUUUGUUUAUGUGACAACUUUUCUUACUCUUUUUGAUGUUAAUAUUGACUAUUUGUAUUCUUUUAUUGUUAAAAACCCAUUAAAACUGAUCCAUUUUAAUGUAGUGCUCGAUUUAGUUUGCUAAUAUUUUGGUCAGCACAGAUCCAUCUAUAUUCAUGAAAGUGGUUCAUUGUGAUUUUAAUUUUUGUAAUAUUUUUGCCAUAUUUUGCUUAUUUUAAUAAGCCAACAAUUGAAUAGAAAUUGUUUCCUCUCAUUAUUUUCAUUAUUUUUGAUGGAAUUUUUGUAAAAUCUCUGUUAAUUGUCUUUAAGUAUUUCAAAAAGUUACUUGAU